GUAGGCUGCAGAAAAUUUCACAGAACUGUAAAUGUUUUCUGUUAGGUUAGUGAGUCAUUAAAUUAAAAAGAAAGAGAACUACAUGUGUGAGACAGUUGCACAGCUAUAGCUGAGAAGAUAUUCAAAUCACACGUAAGAUUUAGGGAUUAAUCCAUUUUAGAUCAUAAUUGCCUCUAUUCACCUUUCUCUGUGGCAUGGAUUAUGGAGAGCCGAUUAUAUUACUUGUAAUCCUUGCUUUAAAAACUAGAAACUCAAUUUUGAUAUUUUCAUCAAAAUAUUUGCUAUCAACACACACACACACACACACACACACACACACACACCAAUGCAAACAACCAAUCCAGCUCAACAAUCCUAUGCAUUUAUCACGUAUACUACAAUUAAUGUUAAAUUAGUGCCAAGUAUCAUGUCAUUAAAGAAGACAUACCUUUUAGGUGAAAAGCUAUAAAUAGCAGUGCAGAUCUCUUUACACUUAAGAAGGGGAAUUUGGGCUUUAAGCAUCCUGCUGCAUUCAUUGCUUUAAUUAGUGAAGUUGCAAUACCCUGCAGGUAGGGAACAAUGUAAAUCAUAUGUAUAUUUGAAUUUGGUUUCUUCUCUUAGUAGCAAAUAGAUAAAGAGGCUAUUCUUUGCCUCUGAUAGCCUCCUGGGGCUUAUAAAGGUGGUUAGAUGCCCACUUAACCAACAAGAAAGGAACACAAAGUACAUUUGAUUAGGAAGAAUGAAAAUUACAAAUUGGCUGAAUGUCAGGAAGGUGAUGGAUACAUGGGCUUCAUUACACAAUUCUUUCUAUUUUUGUAUUUGACAUUUUCCAUAACCGAAUGUUAAAGACAAAAGAAGGGGUUCCUGGGCUCUGAGUUGUCUCGGCCCAUUUUCUACUUCCAUUGCCAGAGCUGACCAGAUUGCCUCUGCUAUCAGGACUCCUGACCACCUGGCAAGGAAUUCCAGAGACCACAGUUGUCACUACGGUAGAUUCUGAAGCCCUGAGCGGGCAGAGAAGAUGUGAGGCCCUCCUGGUGAAAUGUGGCCUUUUAUGAGAAUACUCCUCUAUGGGUGAGCCUCAUCUUGCCUUUUGAUAGUAAACCGGAUUGAAGGCUCACCAUCUAGGCAAGUCAAAAAAAAUGAUGUGGCUAAGAAUUUGUGAGAAAGGUAUGAAAUUAUUUAUGCCCCAGGCAUUAAUUUUAUAGAAUUAAAAAAAAAACUUUUAAAAUAGUGGUUGAUUAUUAGUGAAUUUUAUUCUGUGUAAAAAGAGUUAUAUUUAGAUAAAUAAAGUGUGACUUGAGUAGCAUUUGGGGGCAUUUGCCCCUAGAUUUGGGGCAAAAUAUGACUUUGGUGGUUUAGCUGUGGUGCUUUUGCAACUCAACACUUUUGAGCAGUGACUAAACCUCUCAGAGACUGAAUCUUCAUAUUACAAAUUUAAAAAUAAGAAAAUUUAAAUAAGAAUCUAACCACAAGUCAACCGUAAAUAAUUUCAUGACAAUCUACUCUCUCUUCAUUUUCCUGCAGGUAUUUGGGGAUUAGCUACAGAACCAAGGGUUUUUCUCACUUCUUCUUUUCACAACCACCCAUAAUCAAAAUAGGUUAAGAGUGGAUUUACAGCUUAAAAAUCAGAAAACUCUGCCUUCAGUUUCAUUGUUACCAAAAUAAAAAUUAUUAAAAAAAACAGAUCGUUGUACUCUACUAAUACAUGAACAUAGACAACCAUGUAACUGAACCUGUUCCAGAUAUCCAGGCAAAGGAAGACUUGUGAGGUGUAUGGGCUCCUUUAAUGGGGGCAGUUUGUAUGGAAGCUUCUGAUUCCAGUAUUUCUGCGGCAACCUAAGAACACAAAGUUCAUCAGAUGGAUGCUCACACAUAUACUCACCGUGAGGACAUAGGGAUGUGAAUGUACAGGAGACGACUAAGAGGUACAGUUCAGCAGCUGGUUUUCUCCACUGGGGAGAACAUGACAAGGGAGAAGGUCAGAGCUGGAGCUCCUAGAGUACACAGACACAUUUAAUGAUGGUUCCCUGUACAGAAGCUAUGAUGACUCCCUGUGGACACUUGGGCAUGUCGGGAAGAAGCAGACUAUCGGGACUGUAAGGACCUUGCAAUCAUCAGGAACAAGACAGAUUCCUUCAGCUGUUGACUUGAACUCACUGUGACAUAUUGAGUGCCUGCUGAGCCAGAAGCAGCUGCCACUGGGAGGAAAGGGGAGGCUGCCACGGAGGGAAUGCAGAGACCCCCCUUCUUUGCAGUGGGCCAGAUGGCAGGGCAUGGGAAAUAUUCCAUUUGGUUCUCCUUCUUAGAGAGGAUGUGCUGUGGAAGGGCUUGCUGUAAAGACUGAUGCACAUCUAGAGCAGUAUGUUUUAUGUCCUUUCUUGGCAACCUGACCUGAUUGGGAAAUAGCUCCUGGAUGGAGAGUAACUACUCUUUCAAAGGAUUGAAGUGAUGAUCUAUAAGCCAAGGAAUGCAGAAGAUUUCUGGAAACAGUGGAAGCUAAGAGAAAGACAUGGAAUAGAUUCUCUCCUAGAGACUUCAGAGACACUUGUUCACUCGAUAAGACAAGCUGCCAUGUUGGAAAGGACUAUAUGGGAAGGAACUGAAGGUGGUCUCUGGGCCAACAGCCAGCAAGGAACUGAGGCCCUCAACCCAACAAUCCUCAAGGAACAAAAUCUUGUCAACAAUACAUGAACGAAUGUGGUGGUAGAUUCUUUCUCAGUUGGGCCUUCAGGUAUGUCUGCAUAUAUUUAUUCACCAUUUGAACUUUCUUAAUGACUUCAUUCCACACCCACCAUUUGCUGUGAAAUCCAUCAAUCACAUACCAGUUCUGAUGUUGUUCUUGAUAAUAUUGCCUAAUCUCAUUAAUAUUUUUGCGGUGUUUUGAGUUUUUGACUGCCAUAAUUUGUGUGCUAUUGUGCAGUGGAUAAGGCAAACUAAUAAAGAAACAGAAUGAAUGGAAAAAGUUGUAAAAAACAUACUUGUUUCCUGGAUGAUUAAAGUUCAUUUCUUUAUCAUUGCUUUCAUCACACACAUUACCUUGGUUCCUUUUUUUUCUCCAGGAACAAUCUUUUGAAAAUCUCCUUGGAAGGCACAUCCAGCUCAAAGAUGACCAUGGGAAUGAUUGACCUAGAUUCCAGGAGGCUGAUUUGAUACUUAGUUACAGGAUAGCCAUCGAUGACAACACUAACAAGGGGAAACAUGAAAAUAAUUCCAGAUUUCUUUUCUCUCAUACCUUCCUUCCUGUUUUCUAGAAGCAGUCUAUCUCUUUAGGAGUAGCCCCAUGGCCUUCCUUGUGUAACUUGAUUUAUUGUCUUUGUACUUUGCCCUCUUUAUCUCUAUAUUUUUAACUUCAGUCAGCCCAAGAGCCAGGUGUAGGGCAGCAUACAUACAGACACAGCUCUGAAUUCAUACACUUAGCAUCACAGAGCUAGGCUUUGGCAGAAUUCAAGAGAACACACAUAAUACCUUGAGCAUUGUGUUAUUCAAUUGGCGCUAUUACUUUAAGAAAUGAAACAGUGGAAAGAGUAUAGGUUUCAGAGGCAGACAGACUUAGAUUUGAGACCUAGUUUGACCUCUCUGAGUGCCAGCUUUUAGUAAAAUAGGGGAGAUGAUAUUUAACCCUUACAGUUGUCUUAAAGACUUAUAGAUCUAGUAUGUAAAGCAACUAGAACAGGAACUGGCACAAUGAAUAGUAUCCUAGUAAGAGAUUAAGCAAAUAUGGGAAAACAGUUGUGCUCUAAGCUUGCUUUUAUACUAAAGUUCUGUGGGGAGGCCGGCGAGUGGGAGGAGAGACAGGGAGUUGGUGAGAGUAGCCCUGUGAUAUCUGAGAAAGAAUGUUCCGUCAGGACCCAUCAUGCCUCUGAGCAGAAAUGACAGAGAAUUUAAGUUAGUCCAACAGUCUGAGAUAAUGAGAGUAUUACUAUCAAACUCAGAUGAGGAAUAAAGGCUGUCCACAAAUUCUGGGAGGAGUGACCCCCAAGGUCUGGAAACUCCCUCUGAGGUGGGAGCAGGCUGGGCCUGCCAGCUGGUGGUCUUCAAGAGGGGCUAGUUUAGAGGAAGUCACAGGACCCCCUCACUCCGUGCUCUAUGGCCAAGUCUCUAGGCAGUAGUUCUAAGUUCCAUGGCAGAGAGAACUGUAAAUCAAUGUAGCCAGGCAAACCUAAUAGAGAACGUUAUGGGAGUGCCAUUGAUGUUUUGAGGUUUUUUUAAUGGAGAGUAGCUCAAUUUCUUUGCUUGCGAAAGGUUGCUUGAGUGACCGUCAGGAUUAGAAACAUUCAGGGUGAUUAGGCAGUCACUAUCCUGGUGUUAAGAUGAAAUAAAACAUUUGUGACUCA